AAUAAAAGGAAAAGUAGAUCCCUAGCUCAACCAUAACAAAAUCCAAUGAGAGCAUUUGAAGUGACUAAGCUAGGAAGAAAUGAAGAGAUCAAGGCACUAAUCGUGUUAUGGAGUCGAAGAGAGUUGAAGAAGCCAAAAUAGAAAGUGAUAAAUGAUAGACCAAUUUAGCAAGACAAUUCAUUUUUGGGUGAGACUAAGGAAUUUGAUAAGGAAUCGAAGAAGAAGGAAGAGGAAACUUUAGUGGAAAAAGAAAAGAUUAAACCUACUAACUCCUUACCUUUUCCUACAACAAUUAAGAAGUAGAGAAUGGGAACCAAGACUAAAAAAUGUUGAAGGUCUUGAUGCAAGUAAAAGUUAAUGCUCCUCUUUUAGAUAUGAUUAAGCAUGUUCUAGUUUAUGCUAAGUUCAUUAAGUACAAAAAUAAUUAAGAGAAACAUAAAGACUAGAAAGAGGGAAUUUCUUAUUGAUUAGGUAAUGCAAUCAUUGAGAAUAAAACUCUAGCAAAAUACAAGGAUCAUUGUUGUUCAACUAUCUCAAUUCAAAUAGGAGAUUCUUACGUGGAGAAAGCACUAUUAGACUUAGGAGUUAGUUUUAAUCUUCUAUUAUAUGCCAUAUAUAAGCAACUAGGGUUGGGAGAGCUUGAGGCUAUUGCAAUCAUGUUGUCCUUAGCUAAUUGCUUA
rnacentral:lncRNA from 1 species